rnacentral:rRNA from 1 species
UACGUAGGGUGCGAGCGUUAAUCGGAAUUACUGGGCGUAAAGCGUGCGCAGGCGGUUCGCCAAGUCAGGUGUGAAAUCCCCGGGCUUAACCUGGGAAUUGCGCUUGAAACUAGCGGGCUUGAGUGUGGCAGAGGGGGAUGGAAUUCCGGCGUGUAAGCAGUGAAAUGCGUAGAUAUGCGGAGGAACACCGAUGGCGAAGGCAAUCCCCUGGGCCUGCACUGACGCUCAUGCACGAAAGCGUGGGGAGCAAACAG